GGAGUUAGCCGGUGCUUCUUCUGUGAGUGAUGUCCUUCCUGCCGGCUAUUAACCCGCAGGCCUUCUUCCUCACUGAAAGUGCUUUACAACCCGAAGGCCUUCUUCACACACGCGGCAUGGCUGGAUCAGGGUUGCCCCCAUUGUCCAAUAUUCCCCACUGCUGCCUCCCGUAGGAGUCUGGGCCGUGUCUCAGUCCCAGUGUGGCUGAUCAUCCUCUCAGACCAGCUACGGAUCGUCGCCUUGGUGAGCCGUUACCUCACCAACCAGCUAAUCCGACAUAGGCUCAUCCGAUAGCGCGAGGCCCGAAGGUCCCCCGCUUUCCCCCGUAGGGCGUAUGCGGUAUUAGCCUGGGUUUCCCCAGGUUAUCCCCCACUACCGGGCAGAUUCCUAUGCAUUACUCACCCGUCCGCCGCUCGCCACCAGGGAGCAAGCUCCCCGUGCUGCCGCUCGACUUGCAUGUGUUAGGCCUGCCGCCAGCGUUCAAUCUGAACCAAGAUCAAAUUCUAGA
rnacentral:rRNA from 1 species